GCUCUUCCAAGUUUGAAAUAUGUAACAAUCUCAAAAACUGAAAUCGUCCGCAUUGAGGAAUGGACAGAAAAACCUCCUUUGCAGAAUUAUUAUUUUCAAACAUUGUCUCGAUUGCCGUUCUACCCCGUCAACCCCCACUCAAGACUAAUUACGCCAUGUUUCAAUCAUAUUGUUGCUGCGAGCGCGGAAACCAAGCCGGCAACGCUGCCAGCUAGUUGACUACUGCAAGUGCGAGACAGCUCGACGGAUUUGGAAUAGGAGAUUCAGCAAGAACCAACCAGCCAAUGAAUGGGACAAAGUCGGAACAUUCAG